AUUAGGUUGGAGUAUAUUUGAAACAGUAAUGUCUAGCAUAGUGAAUUCUUACUGAUGAUACGGAGCAGCAUACGUAUCGUAUGAAGCGAGGAGUUAGCAAUGCUUAAAAAUUCGGUAUAACGAGCUAUCUCAUUACGAUUGUUGUAACGUCAAUUAUUUUGCCAAUUCUUUUAUCGAAAGAAAUCAAAGUGGAAAAUGAAUAAUCAUGAUAGCAUGUUGAGUGGACAUAUGCGAAUUGUAGUUUAACAUUAAUACAGUCAGAAAAUUAAAAUAUAAAAAAUGGUGCUGUGUUUGGACUGUUUGAAGUUAAAUUAUUGGUGACUCCUGAAGCCAAGCUAGGUUAGUAACGAAAAGAAAUUGCUGACUUCCAUAAUUUUUUCUUUAUUAAAAAUAUUAUCAGCUUAGAUAACGUUUUUACGAUUACGGUACCAUCAUUUUAAUUGCAUUCUUCGGACUUUUUACUUUGUUUUUAUAACUACGCUGGGGAUGAAAUGCUUUUCCCAAGAAAACGUUCCGAUGAAUGAAAACAUAAAUAUCAAUUGCGGUCGAGAAUAUACCCGAUGCUUAUAUCAUACAAAAUGAACAUUAAAUUUGAGCUUUCAAAAAAAGUAUUUCAAAUCAACCAACAAUAUAUUUCGACUUUCGUACUUUUAAAUCCAUAAUUGUUAACUUCAUUAAGGAUAAAUCUAAGUUAAUAUAAUUUUCGAUUGCCACGUUUAGUCUUUACGGAUCGUGUUCAACACCCUUCGGGUGUUUUCAUUAGAAUAAAAAUUGUUAAAAAGCGUUAGGUUUUAGAACUAUUCAAUCAGAAUAAAAAAUAAUUUAAAUCCCAAUACUAGGAUUACUAAACUCCCAAGGCGAGACUCGAACUCGCAACCUUCUGAUGACCAUCAUAAGAGUCAGACGCUCUAA
rnacentral:lncRNA from 1 species